AGAGUUUGAUCCUGGCUCAGGAUUAACGCUGGCGGUGUGCUUUAUGCAUGCAAGUCGAACGGUCCUUCCCGCAAGGGAAGGAUAGUGGCGAACGGGUGAGUAACGCGUAAGUAACCUGCCCUCAAGUGGGGAAUAACCCCGGGAAACCGGAGCUAAUACCGCAUGUGGUCCUUCACUGUAAGGUGAAGGAUUAAAGCCUUCGGGCGCUUGGGGAGGGGCUUGCGUCCGAUUAGCUAGUUGGUAGGGUAACGGCUUACCAAGGCGAUGAUCGGUAGCUGGUUUGAGAGGACGAUCAGCCACACUGGGACUGAGACACGGCCCAGACUCCUACGGGAGGCAGCAGCAAGGAAUAUUGUGCAAUGGGCGAAAGCCUGACACAGCGACACCGCGUGGGGGAUGAAGGCCUUCGGGUUGUAAACCCCUUUUCUCAGGGAAGAAUAAUGACGGUACCUGAGGAAUAAGUCUCGGCUAACUACGUGCCAGCAGCCGCGGUAAUACGUAGGAGGCGAGCGUUAUCCGGAUUUACUGGGCGUAAAGAGCGCGUAGGCGGCUUUCCAAGUCGGAUGUAAAAUCUCCCUGGCUCAACUGGGAGGGACCACCCGAUACUGUUAGGCUAGAGGGCAGCAGAGGAAAGCGGAAUUCCCGGUGUAGUGGUGAAAUGCGUAGAUAUCGGGAGGAACACCAGAGGCGAAGGCGGCUUUCUGGGCUGUUCCUGACGCUGAGGCGCGAAGGCGUGGGGAGCGAACAGGAUUAGAUACCCUGGUAGUCCACGCAGUAAACGAUGGACACUAGGUAUGGGGAGUAUCGACCCUCUCUGUGCCGUAGCUAACGCAUUAAGUGUCCCGCCUGGAACUACGGCCGCAAGGCUAAAACUCAAAGGAAUUGACGGGGGCCGCACAGCAGCGAGCGUGUGUUUAAUUCGAUGCACGCGAAAACCUUACCAAGCUUGACAUGUGGAAGUAGCGACCUGAAAGGAAGCGACUUGUUAAUCAGGAGCAUCACAGUGCUGCAUGCCUGUCGUCAGCUCGUGCCGUGAGGUGUUCGGUUAAGUCUUGCACGAGCGCAACCCCUGUCGUCAGUUGUUUUCUCUGGCAGAACUGCCCCGCAACCGGGAGACGUGGGAUGACGUCAGUCAGCAUGCCUUAUGUCUGGGCUACCCACCGCUACAAUUGGUG
rnacentral:rRNA from 1 species